GAUGAACGCUGGCGGCGUGCUUAACACAUGCAAGUCGAACGAAGUAUUUAAGACAGAUUACUUCGGUUUGAAGUCUUCUAUGACUGAGUGGCGGACGGGUGAGUAACGCGUGGGUAACCUGCCUCAUACAGGGGGAUAGCAGCUGGAAACGGCUGGUAAUACCGCAUAAGCGCACAGUACCACAUGGUACAGUGUGAAAAACUCCGGUGGUAUGAGAUGGACCCGCGUCUGAUUAGCUUGUUGGCGGGGUAACGGCCCACCAAGGCGACGAUCAGUAGCCGACCUGAGAGGGUGACCGGCCACAUUGGGACUGAGACACGGCCCAGACUCCUACGGGAGGCAGCAGUGGGGAAUAUUGCACAAUGGAGGAAACUCUGAUGCAGCGACGCCGCGUGAGUGAAGAAGUAGUUCGCUAUGUAAAGCUCUAUCAGCAGGGAAGAUAGUGACGGUACCCGACUAAGAAGCGCCGGCUAAAUACGUG
rnacentral:rRNA from 1 species